rnacentral:rRNA from 1 species
AUUGAACGCUGGCGGCAGGCUUAACACAUGCAAGUCGAACGAGUGGCGGCCGGGUGAGUAAUGUCUGGGAAUCUAGCUUAUGGAGGGGGAUUACUACGGGAAACUGUAGCUAAUACCGCAUACCAUAAGAUUUGCCCAGGUGGGAUGAGGCAGUGGGUGUGGUAAUGGCUAACCUAGGCGACGGUCCCUAGCUGGUCUGAGAGGAUGACCAGGCACACGGGGAAUGAGACACGGCCCCGACUCCGACGGGAGGCAGCAGUGGGGAAUAGUGCACAAUGGGGGCGAGCAUGAUACAGACAUGCCGCGUGUGUGAAGAAGGCCUUCGGGUUGUAAAGUACUUUCAGUGAGGAGGCGUUACCUGCAGAAGAAGCACCGGCUAACUCCGUGCCAGCAGCCGCGGUAAUUC